rnacentral:rRNA from 1 species
CCUACGGGAGGCAGCAGUGGGGAAUAUUGGGCAAUGGGCGCAAGCCUGACCCAGCAACGCCGCGUGAAGGAAGAAGGCUUUCGGGUUGUAAACUUCUUUUCUCAGGGACGAAGCAAGUGACGGUACCUGCGGAAUAAGCCACGGCUAACUACGUGCCAGCAGCCGCGGUAAUACGUAGGUGGCAAGCGUUAUCCGGAUUUACUGGGUGUAAAGGGCGUGUAGGCGGGAAAGCAAGUCAGAUGUGAAACCCAUGGGCUCAACCUGUGGCCUGCAUUUGAAACUGUUUUUCUUGAGUACUGGAGAGGCAGACGGAAUUCGUAGGGUAGCGGUGAAAUGCGUAGAUAGUAGGAGGAACACCAGUGGCGAAGGCGGUCUGCUGGACAGCAACUGACGCUGAGGCGCGAAAGCGUGGGGAGCAAACAGGAUUAGAUACCCCAGUAGUC